GAUGAACGCUGGCGGCGUGCCUAACACAUGCAAGUCGAGCGAACCCUUCGGGGUGAGCGGCGGACGGGUGAGUAACGCGUGGGUAACCUGCCCUAUACACACGGAUAACGUACCGAAAGGUACGCUAAUACGGGAUAAAGUUGUUGGAUGGCAUCUUCUAACAAUCAAAGCUCCGGCGGUAUAGGAUGGACCCGCGUCUGAUUAGCUAGUAGGUGAGGUAAUGGCUUACCAAGGCGACGAUCAGUAGCCGACCUGAGAGGGUGAUCGGCCACACUGGAACUGAGACACGGUCCAGACUCCUACGGGAGGCAGCAGUGGGGAAUAUUGCACAAUGGGCGAAAGCCUGAUGCAGCAACGCCGCGUGAGCGAUGAAGGUCUUCGGAUCGUAAAGCUCUGUCCUCAAGGAAGAUAAUGAUGGUACUUGAGGAGGAAGCCCCGGCUAACUACGUGCCAGCCGCCGCGGUAA
rnacentral:rRNA from 1 species